CAAGACCUGUACAAGAUCCUGAUGAAGGAAACAAUUCAAGAGUUUAGACAUCUCUUGUACAAAAAAGAACAUCCAAAGCACCUUUGUGAAAAACUUGAUGAUGGCACUGAAUGUCCUGCUUGCUAUAAUGUAAGAUUUUUUAUUAAUAUGCUGAUAAGGUAUUUUUUUUUAAUUACUGUGAAAAUAUACUAUUAUCGUUAUUUUACAGUGGUUUCAUUUAUGUCUUCCUGAUAAUAAUCCUUAUUGUACUUCCUUAUUUCUAUAUCAACCUGCUCAGCUGAUUUUUUUUUUUUCAUAUUUAGGCUUUGUGACAUGGUAAAAAUAAACUAUUUCACCUGAACUUAUCCCCCACUUCAUAAUGUUUGACCCAACAUUAUCAAAAGUUGAGAACUUCUCAGCCAGCUUUUCAUGUGAUAAAUAUUUUAUCUAAUUUUUGUCGAGCCGCAACUUUGUUGGCAGAAUGCUCGACUAGGAUGUGUCCGGCGGCGGCGGCGGCGGCGGUGUUAGCUAACUUCUUAAAAGCUUUAUAUUUUAGAAGGUGAAGCUGGAUGCUUUACUUGUAUAUAGAUGCUCAUGUUACGAGUUUCCGUCAGUCCAUGUCCAAGGUCCUUGACCUUAUUUUCAUGGUUGUGACACUUGAACAGUUCAAUUUUUUGUAAUGUUGAAUUCUCUUUAUUAUAAGUAAUAGGAUGACUAUAUUUGAUAUGUGCGUCCUUGCAAGGUCUCAUGUCUGUCAGACAGUUUCACUUGAUCGACUCUUUCAUGGUAGUGAACAGGUUAAUUUUUGUUGGUCAAUCCGUAUCUCAGUACUAUAUAGCAAUAGGGCUUCUAUAUUCGAUGUUGGAAGGAUGUAAGGUGUACAUGUAACUGGCGGUGUCAUUGACCUUGACUAUUUUCUGGUUCGUGGUUAUAGUUGUUUUGUGUUUUGGUCUGUUUUUUUCAUACUAUAUGCAAUAGGUCUACUGUUUGUUGUAUGGAAUGAUUGUAAGGUGCUAAUGUCUUGCGGGCGAGUCAUGUGACUUGACUCAUUUUCAUGGUUCAGUGGUCAAAGUAAGUUUUGAGUUUUGGUCUUUUCUAAUUAUAUGCCAUAGGUCACUCUAUUUGGUGUAAUGGAAAUAUUUUAUGAUCUUAUGUCAUAGCGCAGGUUUCUUUGACAUGACGUCAUUUUCACGGUUAUUGCACAGCGUUAAGAGAUUGUUUUGGUCAUUUUCUUAAUAAGUAAUAGGUCAAUAUAUAUUGUAUAGAAGCAUUGUUAGCUGUAAUGUCUGCCUGGCAUGGUUCAUCUGCCUUGACUCCAUUUCAUGGUUCAUUGUCUUUGUUUAGUUAUCUUGGUUAUGUUAAGUUUAUGAGACAGUUGUAAUAAAGCUUUAUACUUAGGGCUAUCAACAUAAUAUCAAUGAUUAGUAAAGAAGGCGAGACAUUUCAGCAUGUGCACUCUUGUCUUUAUAAAGAUAUGGUAAACUAUCAGGUGUUUGUAAAAACAGGAAGCUUUUUAGCUUGUUUUCUGCACUCACUUGCCAAAAGACAUAUUUUCAUCUUAUUUUUUUUAUGAAAUCUAUAUGCAGAAAACCUUGGUAGUACUUCUUACAUAUCUUGCAGGUGAGCAUAAUCGAAAAAUUACUGCAAAUUUCUUAGGGUGUUACUAAGGCCCCAAUAAAAUAUUGUUGACAUGUUAUUUUUCAGUAUUCUAUUAAUGAUAGGUGAUGAUAUUUUUGAUUAUCGUUACAAUGUAGUGAUAUUGAGGAAAGAUAAAUGUCAAUGCUAAAUUUAUUCUAGUCUCCAUUCAAAUUGGUCUGUUUUCAUGCAGUUCAAAGGAAAAUGUUAUAAAUUGUGAAAGCUUCUAUAAAGUUUUACUGUUUUAUACAUCAUACAUAUAUAUAUAUAUUAUGUUACACCUUUAAAUUAAACUGACGAGGAAAGUUACUACCGGGUCACCGAAAGCCUGAUUUUCGUCGAGCCUAGGUGGUCAAGAGGUUUAAUGGGCAGUAUAUAAUGCAAGGCGAUUUGGUGCCACAAUAUCACAGUAGCACGAGUUUGAAUCCCGCCGAGGGAAUAACAAAAAUUUGCAAAAGCAAAUUUUCAUAUCUUACAUUGUUGGGCUGUUAUUUAAAGUAAUUAUAUAUAUAGUAUGUGUUUUCAGCCAUGUAUCACCUUCACUGGUGAUCCAAUGGAAAAGGUUAUCGUAGAGUUGUCACUUGUUCAGACGUACUUAGUUCGAAUCCCGGCUAGGGAAGAACAAAAAUUUGCUAACGCAAAUUUACAGAUCUAACAUUGUUGGGCUGUUGUUUAGAAUAUCAUUAUUAACUCAGCAUCGCCUCAAUCACGCAUCAUUGAUGGCGAUCGAUGGAUACAUCUGUUUAGGUUGUCACUGACUCAGCGUACUUAUAAAUAUAUUAUUUUCUGUGCGUAUCUUACAUUAAUUUGUAGGAUCCGUUACUAUAGAUAAUUUAGCUGAUCUGUAACAAACAUCUCAUGCUUAUAUAUCAUGUACUCAUACCGCUAUUUAAAACUGCGUGAAAGGUAAACACGCGAGCGAGAGCUCUUUUUUUGAGAGCCAGGUGUCGUGUGGUCUAGCGGCAGUGCAGGCGAUUUGGUGUCACGAUAUCACAGUAGCAUGGGUUCGAAUCCCGGCGAGGGAAGAACCAAAAAUUUGCGAAAGCAAAUUUACAGAUCUAACAUUGUUGGGUUGAUGUUUAGACGAGUUGUAUAUAUAUAUAUAUAUACAGCUUGAUAAAUGUUUUAAACCAAUAAUAAUUUAAAUUUAUGUGCUGAAAGAACUUAUAACAUACAUCCACAAUUUAUAAUUAAAAUAUUAUCUUAUAUUUACUCAUACAUUUUUAUUGGUAGGUUACUCAACCUAUUGUUUCAUUUGAUGCCGACAUUUUCAUCUUGUAAGGAAAGGCUCAUCAGGAAAUAAUUGGAAACCACCAAAUCAUGAAGGACACUUUUUUGUUAAUCAAGAUUCUGUGGACAACUUCAUGUCAGAUUAUACUACUGAUAACAAAAAAGAAGAUGUGGUAAGUGCUAAAUCAUGGAAGAGGAGGGAAGCAUAAAAAAUAAAUAAUUAAUGGUUAAUCAAGGACAGCAUUCUAAAAAUUUCAAUUGUGAUGCCCCAUUUUUUUUAUCAGGUUGAAAAAUAAACUAUAGAGGGAUGGAACCACAAGGGAAAAAAGUAUAACCCCAGAUUAGGUUUAUUCCAGAUUGUACUAUAAAUUAUUUUGAAUUUGAUAUAUACAAGAAACAAUUUUGUAGUUUUUUAUUGUAGAGAAUCUGCACAUAUAGCAUAUAUAUAUACUUUUGCAAUCUUUGCUUCAGGAAUGUAAUAAAUUUCAAGCUGGAAAUCAGUUGAGAUCCA
rnacentral:lncRNA from 1 species